ACAUUUUCUCUCCUUUUCUUCAAUCACGUUUGGUUUCCUCUCAAGCGUAUCUUUUUUCUCCUCCUCUCUCACAAUUCCAUCCCAAAUCCUUUGCUCCUCUCGCAUCCGGUUUCUCCUCACACGUCUCUGUUUCUCUGUUUCUACCUUGCCUCUCCCUGUUUCUACCUUGCCUCCAGUUUUUUCCAUCGUCGAUUCCUCUUCUUCACUUCAUUCUAAUAAGCGCCUCCUCAUCGACGAAUGAAAAAGGGCAUAAACAGGGCAUGAAGAUUGAUAAAUCAUUAUUGGAAAUUGUUCUGAAUGGUGUCACUGUGAACUGCUCAAGCAGAUGAAACACCUUCCAUUUUUAGGAACCAUUUAUCUCAAGCGACGACUCAGGUAUCUUCUCCCCGGCGGCUAGGUCUCAGUCCUCCUCUUCACACUUGCUGCCAUUAUGCCUUCAUCAACAUCAGCAGUGUUGUUUUUGAAAUUUGAACUAAAAAUAAAAGAAUGGAAGAGAUAGACCGCAAGCGUUGUGGAAUGUGGUUCAUGGAGCUGUGCUUUGAGGAGGAAUGAGGUCGUUUAUUUUCUGAUUUGUCUGCUGGUUCAUAUCUAACAUUGUGUAGCUCCAAGACUAACCUCUUGGUUGUAGCUCUAACUAGCUAAAUUUCUAACUGGAACAUUAGCAUUCAAACAAUGCAUUUUAUCAAAGAGUGAAGAGCUACUUUUAAUACACUAACGGCUAAGAGCUAAUUUUACAAAAAAAAAGAACCUAUCAAAGAACUUGAUGUGUAGUGAAUAUGCUACAACCAUUAACUUUACAUGUAGUCGUUGUUUCUUUCUUCCAUCAGCAGCCCUAUCUAUUGCAAACCAUAAUGCCUCUAUGAACCCUAUAGUAUGCUACUCAAGAUGAUAUCAAUUUGAAAUUUGGGGGUUUUGUCUAACCAUGGAGGUUUCAUAUAUUUGGGUGGGUUUGAUGAAGCGUGCUCUAUUUUUCAUAUAUUUUCUUUUUGGUCUAAGAGAAUCAUCUUCUAUAUUUUUUUUAGAUUCUAAUAUUUUUUACUUGCAAUGUUUUGAUGAGGCUAGAAGUUGUGAACACAAUGAAGAGAAUACUAACACAGAAGAGAAGAAAUCUUGAGAUUUAAAUAAGAUGAAAUUGAAGUUCUGUGAAAAUGAUUUUCAUGAAUUUUGUUGUAAUUUUUUCAUCUGUGUUGUUUUGUGAUGGAUGCCUUGGCUGAUGGUAGUUUUUCCACGACCCUUGGAUUCAAUGACCUUAGGAACUUUUCUAUUUAACAUGUUUGUAUUUUUUACUAAUGCACGAUGAGACUAUUGUUCAUGAUGGAAAAGAAAGGGAUAUUGUUGAAGAGGAAUUCAAGCAAGGCUGUGGUUUACUAAUAUGACUUAUGAAAGCACAAAUUCAUGCUUCUGUGUUAGAAAGUCUUGGUAAAAAAGUUUGAAAGGAUUCUCAGAGAAGGAUCAGUUUAUCCCCAGCAAAUAUUACAAAUAGGAAGACCUUGCCCUAUUGGCUAUGGAUAAAGUUGAACCACUUUCAAUUUACGAUUUGAAAUACAAGUCGGGAUGACGUAGGAAGAUCCACCGUCAAACACCAUAGCACAAUCCAUUGGGGAUAUGAGCAGAUUCCUUGGCCUUGAAGGAGCUUCUGGCUUGCGGUUAUUGGAUGUAAAAGACGAGUGAUUUUAAUGUAAUUUUAGCUAAUAUUAUAAUCUUAACUGCUUUUUACUUUAGUCCUUGAAUUAUUUUUUAGCCGUGUAUCAAUCCAUAUAUUAACCUUUUUAUUUUCUUUGA